rnacentral:tRNA from 1 species
GGGCGUGUGGCGCAGUUGGUAGCGCGUCUGCCUAGCAUGCAGAAGGUCUUGGGUUCAACUCCCAACUCGUCCA